CAUUUUAUUCUUAAUAUUUGCGGGAAUGAUUUGAUUCCUAUGAAAUUAGCUGCUAUACGUAGUUGUGCAUCGUAUUUCUGUUGUAUGUUGUGAAGCUGAUUCACUUGUUAUUGUGAGUCUCUCCGUUUACUGAAACUUUGAAUAAAUGGCUUCAAGUUGCUGCUGGAUAUCUACCUGUUACCAUUCUACGUCAAUAUCCUAAUUAGAUACUGCCUGGAUUGUGCAGACGAGAAGCUGGAAUCGCCAUAAUUCCUGCAAUGCUCCAUCAGAGGCAAUUGAAUUUCCUCCCAAGGACUGUUCAUUGUGCUUGAAGAAAGGCCUAAACUUUGACUUGGUUUGACUUAUCUUCAUGAAAUCGUGCAUCUUGCCAAUUCCUCAAGGUUCCGAAAUCAACCAGCCGGUUGGAUGGUAAAACAUUCAUUACUGAAGUACUUCUAUAUGCUUGAAUGAUCUUGGAAGUAACCCUCAUACUGUGUCCACUAUACGUGAUUUGACGAACAAUUGAACCCAAGAGCUAUGCUUUUAGUGAUCCGAGUUUUGCCUAAAAUUUGUCAAACUGUAUUUCGAUCUAGAAUUUAACUUUAAUUUAACCGAUUAUAGUAUACUCGUGUGCAGGGGAACUUCAAUGUAAUUAAUAGCGGCAAUUUCAAAUUCUUGUAAACUUUCUAAGCCUUCAUUUUUAAAUUGCUUAAAAUGAAACGGACGAAAUUACUAGAAACUGUAUUCUGUAUUGAAUUAGCGAUGAUCUGCCAAUAUAUGCCCAAAACUACCUUUUACAUUCCAGAUUAAAAUCUGUAUGUUAAAUUUGUAAAUUUAAAGUCUAUCGCGUACGAACUGCAUAUUAAACCUCUUAAUGGAUAGUUCUUUGAAUAUCUUUACUUAUCAGGUUCUUCAGCUGUCAAAAUGCCCGAAAUUCCGAUCUCGGGAUUUCAAAAUCAUUUGGCAUUAGCUUGAUUUGUUGCUAUUCCUGUUCUACUCUAUUUAGCUCACUCGCUGUAAACGUGAGGUUUAUAUAUUAUCCAGACAAUGUAUAAAUCUAAAGGCUAUGUUCUAAUUCGUAAAUCCUUAGCUUCCAAUGACACGCGCAUUAACGAAUUUUUAAAUCUUGGAUACGCGAGAGGAAGUAUUAAAUUAAAGAAUUCCACUGGUAGCCCUUCAGUAUCUCAAAUGCACCUUCUAUUAUAAGAAUUAAUAACGAUAAAUGUUCAUAAUGGGUUGUCAUCCAAUUUGGAAACUAAAUUCCCAAGUCAAAGGGUGAAAUAGCUUGAUCACACAAUUCGCGAAUUUUGGCUUCGGCUGUUAAGUACGUUCUUCUCAAACCAUUAGAGCAUUUGUACAAAAGCUUACUUCCAAAAAUUCAAUGGAAUAGAAUGUUUAGAUCUGCAAGGUAGUCAAUUUAAAAUCGCAGCAUCUUAGUAAAUUGAUUUAUUGCAUAUUCUUAAACUUCAGCAACUCUAUUAAAGCUAACUCUUUCACAUAAUAUAAAGCGCGUCGAUAAACAGCUCUUGAAUUACAAUUCUUUAAAAGAAAUCUAACCAUACCAAUUUAAAGUGUACACUAAGCGUACUGUUCAUCCUCGGAUUCGGAAAACUUAACUUUCGCACAUGCAUUUUUAAGCGUUUAUUUCGUCAAAGGAAUGAGAGGAAAGACGUUUGCAUUUAGCAAGAGGAUGAACUCGAAUAAUUCGUGGAAUUAGAUGCAAUGACGGCUCGUAUUUUAUCGUUCAACCGUCGAAAAGUAAAUCUCAGGAUCCUGAAGUGUGGAGUGGGUUGGGAGCAGAACGAGAGUUCAGUUAACAAAUCUAGGUUAUUGGAUGCCAAUAUUAAAAGUAUAAAUUACACUUACCUGGUUCAUGAUGGAUGGGUGAUGUGAUUGAAUGAAGUUUGGAGAAUGGGUAGACACUUGAUAAGUCAACGUCAGGGUUAACAUGUUGAGCUAAAUGCUAGUCCCUGUUUACUUUCCCUCUAGGCUGUUUGGGACCGGCGGUCUAAGCGGAAAGUAUCGGUCCCCAGGGAACUGGUACUUAACGUGUUAACGAAGUGGGUUGGGAGAGUGCAGCGAGUGGUCACUAAAUUAUGAGGUAUUAAAUGAGAUGGUGAUUGUAUUGGAUGAUGGAAUGAAUGUUAGUAUAGUGUGCGAGAAGUGUGAACCAGAAAAAGUGCUACUUAUACUUCAAAUAUUGGUAUAGGUUGAGGAAAAAUUUCAACUUUCACACUCUAACAUGUGAAAUUCUCAAACGUGCGAAUAGAAAGUUUUCUCGAGUUUUGGUUAGGUAAAUGUAUAUUUCAGUUUUUAUUUUAUAAGAAAUUUAUGUUCACGAUUGACAAGUAACUAACGCUUGUUUUUCACAUGUUCAUACAUAAUUCUAAAUGUGUGUAAGGGGGACAAGGGUCCUUCCUCUUCCCAUAGAAUGGAAUUGCAUAUAUGUAAUUAUAGCAUAUUGACCGUAUCUCAUACGCGUUCCAUUGAAAGGGGAAUAAACAAACCAACUAUUCAACGUAAAAAAUUUAAACGUCUUAAAUUACAUUUGACAUGGGAUGUAGUCUUUUGAAGGCUCGCGAAUGGUAGUUUGAAUUUUCAAAAAUUGGCGGUUUAAAUUUCUUGCAAUAAUUGUUUUCAGGAUGUUUUUUUCUAAAUUGAUCCUUUUUCAAACUUGUCUCUUCCGUAUUGAAUUAGAAACUUGCACUUACAGAACUGUUUGUUAGAAAGUUGAAAGUAAUAUUUGUAUCCAAUGAUGCCAUAAUUACUUACAAGAAUUCAUUUAAAAUAAAAUUUCAUCUGGAAUAGCAAUGGUCGCUAAACUCCUUAGUUAAAUGAGUAUCGCUUCUUUACCGACAUUUAUUUAAUCGCGUCUUCAAAUCUUAAAGAAGGAACUGAAUAUUCGGAUGAAGUUUUAAUGGCAACAAAUUGUCAUUGCUCCAAUCGAGUUAAAUUUCAUAAAUGGAACACUCGUAAGCCUGAAUUUUAAUCUUUUCUCAGACAACUCGCUCAAUCUCUUGAUCUACGAAUGUACUUAACUUCCUAAUUGACGCUUCCUAUUUAGAGCAUUUAUUAUUUUAAUUCCUAUAAUAAAAGAACAUUUGAGAUGUUGAAGCGUUAUUGACUUUCACAAUCUUAAUUGAUCAAUUCCAUAUCUACAAUUAAGUGGAAAUUAUUAAAUUCCUUCAUUAGAUGCGCGCUUCAGAUUAAUCAUUCUAUGGAAGGAGAAUAAUUUGCAAGUUAGUCAUUUGCCAUCGAUUCGUAUACAAGUUGCCGUCAGUCUAAAUACUUAAAUUCUGCAAUCGUCCGUUUCAUUUGAAUUCAAAACUCUAAUUAAAUAUCGGUUGCAUAUUUCCAUACUGUUCAGCUCAAAUAAAAUAUCAAUUUCUUGAAACAGGUUUAAAUGGUGCAUUCUCUAUAUUUCUUUGUAUAU